rnacentral:rRNA from 1 species
UACGUAGGGGGCAAGCGUUGUCCGGAUUUAUUGGGCGUAAAGAGCGUGUAGGCGGCCAGGUAGGUCAGCUGUGAAAACUCGAGGCUCAACCUCGAGACGCCGGUUGAAACCAUCUGGCUAGAGUCCGGAAGAGGAGAGUGGAAUUCCUAGUGUAGCGGUGAAAUGCGCAGAUAUUAGGAAGAACACCGGUGGCGAAGGCGGCUCUCUGGAACGGUACUGACGCUGAGACGCGAAAGCGUGGGGAGCGAACAGG